rnacentral:rRNA from 1 species
AGACAGCAGCAGCCGCGGGAAUACGGAGGGUGCAAGCGUUAAUCGGAAUUACUGGGCGUAAAGCGCACGCAGGCGGUCUGACAAGUCAGAUGUGAAAUCCCCGGGCUUAACCUGGGAACUGCAUUUGAAACUGUCAGGCUGGAGUCUUGUAGAGGGGGGUGGAAUUCCAGGUGUAGCGGUGAAAUGCGUAGAGAUCUGGAGGAAUACCGGUGGCGAAGGCGGCCCCCUGGACAAAGACUGACGCUCAGGUGCGAAAGCGUGGGGAGCAAACAGGAUUAGAUACCCCUGUAGUCCCUGUCUCUUAUAC